AGUGAACGCUGGCGGCGUGCCUAAUACAUGCAAGUCGAACGGACAAGUAAGAGCUUGCUCUUAUGAGUUAGUGGCGCACGGGUGAGUAAUGUAUAGCUAAUCUGCCCUACACUAGAGGACAACAGUUGGAAACGGCUGCUAAUACUCUAUACUCCUGUCUUACAUAAGUUAGAUAGGGAAAGUUUUUCGGUGUAGGAUGAGGCUAUAUUGUAUCAGCUAGUUGGUGAGGUAAUGGCUCACCAAGGCUAUGACGCAUAACUGGUCUGAGAGGAUGAUCAGUCACACUGGAACUGAGACACGGUCCAGACUCCUACGGGAGGCAGCAGUAGGGAAUAUUGCUCAAUGGGGGAAACCCUGAAGCAGCAACGCCGCGUGGAGGAUGACACUUUUCGGAGCGUAAACUCCUUUUGUUAGGGAAGAAUAAUGACGGUACCUAACGAAUAAGCACCGGCUAA
rnacentral:rRNA from 1 species